UUUUUUUAUUUUUUAUUUUUUAACAUAAAUGACUCCAUUUUGAUUUUGACAACUUGCACAAUGUAUAUCUCUAUAUGACUAUAUAUAUCCAUAUCUCACUACUGUGUGCCAAGGGUUUUCUAAAAGAAGAUUAACUCAUUUGGGUCCUAUAAUUAACAUCCUCCUCCUCUCCAUUUUACAAAUGAGGAAACUGAAGCACAGAGAAAGUACUUGAAGCCACAGUAGAAGAGGAGCAGCUCAGUUGCAGGGCUAUCCCCGAACACACCCAUCUCAUGGGUUCGAGCUUAUGAAUUAUGACGUGGCAACAAACACUCUCGAAGACUUAGUGGUUAUGUUAGUUUCAUAUUCUUACUGUAACAAACUUGGUGACCUAAAGCAGCCCACAUUUAUUCUUAUACAGUGGUUAGAGGGCAGAAGACCAAAGUCAGUUUUACUGGGCUGAAAUCAAAAUGCUGGCAGGCAUUCCUUCUGGAACUUCUAGGAGAGAAUCGUUUCUGUCCCUUUUUCAGCUUCUCAAGGUCAUCUGAAUUCCUUGGCUCCUGGCUUCCCCCUGGCAUUGCUGCAACAGCCCUUCUUUUAUCACAUCAACUUUUCUCUGAACUUGCCUCUCCUGUCUUCCACUUAUGGAGAUCCUUGUGAUUACAUGAGGCCCACCUGGAUAAUCCAGGAUCCUCUCCGCCUCACUGAAUCCUUAAUCUAUUCAAUCUGCUAAGCCCCUCUUGUCAUGUAAGGUUACAGUAUAGUCACAGGCUUCCAAGAUUAGAACAUGGACAUUUUAAAAAACAUUUAUUUAUUUUUAGAGAUGGGUCUUGCUAUGUUGCCCAGGAACAUGGGCAUUUUUUUGGGGGACAAAAUAAUAAUGUUCAGAGUCUAAAAAAAUAGCAGAUAGGAGGCAGGAUUAACUUGCAGCUCCCACUCGAAUGGACAGAGCAGCAUGUGGAGACUCACUUCAUGAACUUUUGCUCCAAGAACUACUGCAGGGACAUACCAGGAAAGCUCAGAGAAGCCACAGACCCUUUGAAGGAAGUGGCUCGCUGCUGCAGGCUCCGUGAGACAGCUGAGAAACUCCGAGUGCCCAAAGUGUGAGAGGGGGAAAGCCUGCUCCCGAACACUCAUCCUCCCUGGGGAACCUGAAGGUCCAGCUCACGGGAGAAGGAUUUGACCUUACCCAGAGCUGAGAUGAAUUGAGAGAGCAAGUGAAAUGUAGAGGUAGAGGAAGCAGCGGGAAGAGCCCUGUGGGCACUCUUGGUCCCCAGGGAAGCCAUUCCUGACUUUGUUUCACAGGGGUCCUUGGAGAGAGCUGCCAGUGGAACUGGGGAAAGACCACAGGGAGACGGAAACUUCCAGCUGAACUUGGUAACAAUUUUGAUCGAAUGUGAAGUUUCCUGGACAGAAUCCUGGGGAAGGGGCAAAUGGGGAGUGCAGCUAUGAGCAUAGAAACUGGGCCAGGUGGGGAGGCAUGGAACCUGACAGCCCCGCUCGCUUUCUCAGCAGGGAGGCUUGUAGCCUGAGACAAGUUCUCAGCCUGUUCACUGGCUGCCUGGAAAUAAACUUGCUGCUGUUGGGGGGCCACGGUAGGAGUGAGACUGGCUUUCGAGCUGCAUGGGAGCUGGCUGAGGCCUGUCACUGCUGGCUUUUCCUCACUUCCUUGGCGACCUGCAUGACACAGGAGAGGCAGCCAUAAUCCCCCUGGGAAUGUAACUCCAUUGGCCUGGGAACCACACCCCCAUCCUCCAUAGCAGCUACAGCAAGCCCUGCCUAAGGAGAGUCUGAGCUCAGACACGCCUAACCCUGCCCCCACCUGAUGGUCUUUUUCUACCCACCCUGGUAGCUGAAGACAAAAGAAUCUCUUGGGAGCUCUAUGGCCCUGCCCACCACCUGAGAAAUUCUAAUACAUAUCCAGGAGACCCU
ensembl:lncRNA